AAAAAAAGCCUAUUCACAGGAGGUGGUAACAUCUGAUGUGCGGAUCACAAGAUUAAUGAGUCCGAGUCUGAUGCCCUCCCUACUGUCUUUACUUUGGGGCUGAAGAUCUCUUUCGACCAUCACUGUGUACCCAGUAGGCAGUGCCACGCCUGCACAUGCUAAGCACACAGUACAUCGAGGAGAGACAGAAAACCAACACAGAGACAGACGUAGAGGUAUUUUAAGGUCGUAUCACCAGGAGGCAUCUGACUCUCUGUCCAGACCUAGGUCUCCAGAUUGGGAUGUUUGUACUCUUUCCAACAGACCCUGUAGUGAGUGAGGCUCAACGCUAAACAACUAGCUACAGGUGUAGGUGAAUCUACUCCUUAAAAAGAGAAACCGGCAGAGUCUUGAUAACCCAGUGCAUCACUGCAAUAAUGUAGAAUGUCUUCUAGCUCAACAAAAAUCUAUACAACUGAGUUGUAUACAAUAGAGUUGGUCAGGGUAAUGGGUGUUGCUUUGGGCAAUGGCCAACGUGAUUGGGUUGGGGCGGCCACAUUCUGAUUCGUGGUAGAUAAAUAGACAAUGCACCGAGGACAACUGAAAUAUGUCGACGACAAGAAAUGCUUGCCUUCUCUGGGCGUCAGUGAUGCCCUAGUAUGGAAGCAUUCAUGGCAAAGGGCAGAAACCUGCCUGACAGACUGAUGGGUUGUCCACCCAGAGCAACACGAACAUGGCCUUAGGUAGGAUGAACAAGGUGUCCCACACUCGCCUGGGGAGCAUCCCCACUGGAGCAUGACACUGUGCAAAACCGGGGGUGGGUGAUCAGAAGGUGUGGUAUGCCCGAUGUGUAUAUGUAGCAGGAUGUUUCUUCAGACGCGGCCAGACACAGAAAACUUAAUGCACUUGCUGAACGCUUCCAGACUGGGAUGAAUCCACAGCCUGGAGGCAAGUUUUCAGCUCAUUCUCCUCUGUUCCUGGCAUCCACAGACGGCAUGCUCUCAACAGCUGGUGACAGCGUCCAUCAGGAAUGAUCAGGAUUCACAUUCUCUGCUGCCAACGAGCUUCUCCAAGCUCUGGUUAGGAGUCUUAGCUCAGUCCUCUUUUCAGGUGUCUCCUUAUCUUUCAGCUCACUCCAACCCAACUCCCCCCAGAGCAGUGGAUUUAAAUGGAUCCAUGCUAGGGCCCUUCUUUCUUUAAAAAUAUGUUCUUAUUCCCAGCCCACUGGAAGUCCAUUCUUAUUUGGUUUGUUAUUCUGUUGAGCAUGGAUUAGCAAGAAUCCUUGCCUGCACAAUGCUGGUCUCCCGUGGACACGGACACCUCUUCCUCAAGAGUCAUCUUCCUUGAAGGGCUUCAGCAUCCACCCCUCCUCCAGCCCCCAGAAACGAGAGCCUAUUGUUGUAAAACUCCCUCUUUUGACGUCUUUCAAGAAUUCCAUCAUUUUUUUUCAUCUACACAAAUAUGUGGACUCAUUCACUGUGCAUUUCUCUCCAUGUUAUUU